UGAACGCUGGCGGCAGCCUAACACAUGCAAGUCGAACGGUAACAGGAUGCGCUUGCACAUCGCUGACGAGUGGCGGACGGGUGAGUAAUGCUUGGGAACUUGCCUUUGCGAGGGGGAUAACAGUUGGAAACGACUGCUAAUACCGCAUAAUGUCUACGGACCAAACGGGGCUUCGGCUCCGGCGCAAAGAGAGGCCCAAGUGAGAUUAGCUAGUUGGUAAGGUAACGGCUUACCAAGGCGACGAUCUCUAGCUGUUCUGAGAGGAAGAUCAGCCACACUGGGACUGAGACACGGCCCAGACUCCUACGGGAGGCAGCAGUGGGGAAUAUUGCACAAUGGGGGAAACCCUGAUGCAGCCAUGCCGCGUGUGUGAAGAAGGCCUUAGGGUUGUAAAGCACUUUCAGUUGUGAGGAAAAGUUAGUAGUUAAUACCUGCUAGCCGUGACGUUAACAACAGAAGAAGCACCGGCUAACUCCGUGCCAACAGCCGCGGUAAUAC
rnacentral:rRNA from 1 species